AUGAUAGAGGCGCGGUGUCCAACAGUACCGCGCGGCAUGGCAGGCAAGCCGCCGCGCGCGAAAGGGGCCACCGCCGAAGCACCCGGGCAAUUGCCUUUGCCGGGCAGCUGGGCCGCCGCAGAAUAUGCGGCGGACUGUCACGCAAAGCGUGAAGCGCUAUCAU
rnacentral:ncRNA from 1 species